ACAUUUACGCUAUAAAUACUGACAGUUUGUGAGGACUAUUUGAGAGUUUCGGUUUGGGCGAGACGACUCUUCGCUAACCUAAAAACUCUCCGAAGAUCCUUGAGACAUUUGCUCCUGCCAUGGUCAAGGCGACUCUGGCAUAGGCAUUUACAGCUAUAAUUUGCCUCUGUGCCUGGAGUUAGCAGCAUCUCAUAAGUUUUGGAUGGCGCAGCUCACAGUGGCCCAUGUGGGGACUGAAUGGCAACCUUGGUGUUAUUAGCACCACGCUCUAACCAACUGGGCUAACCGGCUGCCCCAGUCCAACUAUUAUUGUUGACUUCUCUAUUUC